rnacentral:rRNA from 1 species
AUAACGGUUGGAAACGACAGCUAAUACAGGAUGAGCAUCCCGAAGGCAUCUUUGGGAUGGAAAAGGGGCCAAGGCCCCGCAUACGGAUGAGCCUGCGGUGCAUUAGCUGGUUGGUGAGGUAACGGCUCACCAAGGCGAUGAUGCAUAGCCGACCUGAGGGGGUGACCGGCCACAUUGGGACUGAGACACGGCCCAAACUCCUACGGGAGGCAGCAGUAGGGAAUUUUCGUCAAUGGGGGGAACCCUGAACGAGCAAUGCCGCGUGAGCGAAGAAGGUCUUCGGAUCGUAAAGCUCUGUUGUAAGAGAAAAACGAGCGCCAUAGGGAAUGAUGGAGCAGUGAUGGUAUCUUACCAGAAAGCCACGGCUAACUACGUGCCAGCAGCCGCGGUAAUACGUAGGUGGCGAGCGUUAUCCGGAAUCAUUGGGCGUAAAGGGUGCGUAGGUGGCACGAUAAGUCUGUAGUAAAAGGCAGCGGCUCAACCGCUGUUGGCUAUGGAAACUGUCGAGCUGGAGUGCAGAAGAGGGCGAUGGAAUUCCAUGUGUAGCGGUAAAAUGCGUAGAUAUAUGGAGGAACACCAGUGGCGAAGGCGGCCGCCUGGUCUGCAACUGACACUGAAGCACGAAAGCGUGGGGAGCAAAUAGGAUUAGAUACCCUAGUAGUCCACGCCGUAAAC